rnacentral:lncRNA from 1 species
CAGGUUAGGAUCACCCCCCAGCAAGCAGAGAAAUGCACCAUGGACCUCUUUCCAUCUUCUGCCGACCCUCAGAUGCUCUGAGUAGAGACAGGCAUGCCAGGAACAGAGUCCUGAUGGCUGCAGAGGCCGUGGCCUCGUCAGGUUCUCACCCCUUCCAGCUCUCAUCAGCGACUUCCUACCCCCACUCGAUGACAGCCAGCAAGCAAAUUUGUCACUCCAGGCAGCUCGUCACUCCUGGCAAAGGAUGGCGUGACAGACGGGGACAGGGACGUUAGCCAAAGCACACUUCCUGAUUUAAAAAUUCUCACUUUCCUCCUGGGGCUGCCAAAUUUAGCAAAGUGCCAUUCCAGCUGCGUGCUUCCAAGCUGCCGUAGGUAAUCGUAACUCUGCACUCCCUGUGGAGUGCUCAGGAAAUUACCCCCAGCACAAGUGUCCUGUGCACUCUGACUACCCGAGCCUGGACAGGGAGGCCUGGUCUCCUGUGUUUGGCAUCUUGGAAUCUGGUCUGCUUAAAACAAGCUGAUGACAGCUUGCUGCCAGCAUUUGCCUUUGCAGGAACGCGGAGGGGAAAUGCAUGCCUUCCGGGAGGCGGGUCCCUGGAAUGGGCCAGGGGACUUGGCUCUGCACGCAGCCCGGCCCCAGGCCAUCAUGGAAAGCCUUCUGUUCCUUGGCUUCCUUAUCUGUAGAAUGUGGACUGGAGGAAGAUUUCCUCCUCUUAUACAAAGCUGUGAUGGGACAGGCUGUGCAAACACAUUGCAUGAGCUCUGUUUGUCGCCGAAGGAGCUGAACUGUGCCGCAGUCCCAUCCUGAGGGGCAGGGCACUUUAAUGUGGGCAGAGGGAAUGUUGGCCCCCCAGAGUUCCUUCCGUGGGCGUGGUAGGAGUGGCAGUUGAGUAGGGCAGUUGGAGAGGAGGGCUCCAAGCCGGUGCGACAAGGGAAGCCGAAUCUGAGGUUUGUGGAGAGAAGGAGGCCCAGGCAACAUGGCAGCAGGCAGUGCCCUCCCAGCCCCGUGACUCCUGAGCCCUCUCCUCUCUUUCUAGUCCUCAGGCCACUAGUGUUUCCUCCCAGGGAAACCUGCUCUCUGCAUCGAUCUGCCCCAGGUAGUACUUGUGGACUUGGUCUCUCACCCUCAGGACAGGCUGUCGUAGGCGACACGGUGUCAGAUGUGACUGCAUGUGAACCUGUGAAAGGAAGUAGGGGCCUGGGGCCUCCCAGAGGGUGAGGGAGGCCCGGGCACUUCUGUUUGUGGAGCCCCCUGGUAUUGCAAAAGAAAAAGUAGAAAUGCCAAGACAGGGUUUCCAAACCUGUGAUACACAAAAGCUUACAUUAAGUAAAUGAAGCCUUUUCUCUCUCUCUCACAUACAAACCACACACACACACACACACACACACACACAUACACACACACAC